CUGACAUUUAUUGAAAAUAAGGAAAAGACGUUUGUCCAGGUAGUGUAGAAGAGCUGGGCAGAGUGCAGGGGUUACUGUGUGGAACAAAAGGCACACAUCAGAGAGACAGCUGCACAUCCAGAAGAGAAGUGGAUGCUGGGCGAAACGAACAGGUCCACAGGAGACAAUGAGUGACUCGACUUGGCUGCCAGGCACCCCGGGACCUGGCGGCCACCUGGCAGGAGCGGAAGAUGUCUCUGGGAGGAGGGAGGGACUGGGUCCCGCCGAAGGUGAAAGGCUGGCCGGCCCCUCCAGGGCGGUGGCGAGCUGUUGGAAGCAUUGUCCAGAGGCUGUGGCCAGCUCAGACACCUCCCGGGCGAGUCCAGACCGCUGAAGGCUGCAGGCUGUCGGCGGGAUGCGGUGGAUGGCGGUGGCGGUGGCGGUGGCGGUGGCAGCAGCAGCGCAGGUCUCUGGGCACCUGCAUGCGGGCCUGGGAGUCUGGCAGAGGGCGGGCGGUUGGCAGCGGCCGGGCUGAGGGUGGUCUGUCCGGUGUGUAACAGGAGCCCGGCUUGCAGCUGGAGCGCACGACCGAGUCCAAGUGUGCAGGGGAGGGGCCGGGAGCCCCUCGGGCCUGGGGGCGGGUGCUCGGGGGAGGGUCCGCCGCGCCAGUCGCCGCCGCCCAGAUCGCCACAGGCGGCGUCCUCCCGCCGCGCCUCCCCCGUCCCUCACCUUCGGGUCGCCGCGAUCUCCCCCGCGCUCGUGUCCCCUCCCGCGUAGUGCUUGCCUUUGUUCCAGGAAUAGCGCUCCAGGUUCCCGCUGCUGCCGCCGCCGGGCCUGGCUCUGGAGCGGCCGCCGCCCUCUCCCUCUCGGGCCAGCCCGGCCCCUCCCCUGCACACUUGGACUCGGUCGUGCGCUCCAGCUGCAAGCCGGGCUCCUGUUACACACCGGACAGACCACCCUCAGCCCGGCCGCUGCCAACCGCCCGCCCUCUGCCAGACUCCCAGGCCCGCAUGCAGGUGCCCAGAGACCUGCGCUGCUGCUGCCACCGCCACCGCCACCGCCACCGCCAUCCACCGCAUCCCGCCGACAGCCUGCAGCCUUCAGCGGUCUGGACUCGCCCGGGAGGUGUCUGAGCUGGCCACAGCCUCUGGACAAUGCUUCCAACAGCUCGCCACCGCCCUGGAGGGGCCGGCCAGCCUUUCACCUUCGGCGGGACCCAGUCCCUCCCUCCUCCCAGAGACAUCUUCCGCUCCUGCCAGGUGGCCGCCAGGUCCCGGGGUGCCUGGCAGCCAAGUCGAGUCACUCAUUGUCUCCUGUGGACCUGUUCGUUUCGCCCAGCAUCCACUUCUCUUCUGGAUGUGCAGCUGUCUCUCUGAUGUGUGCCUUUUGUUCCACACAGUAACCCCUGCACUCUGCCCAGCUCUUCUACACUACCUGGACAAACGUCUUUUCCUUAUUUUCAAUAAAUGUCAGACGCUG
rnacentral:lncRNA from 1 species